rnacentral:rRNA from 1 species
UGAGGCGAACCGGGGGAACUGAAACAUCUAAGUACCCCGAGGAAAAGAAAUCAACCGAGAUUCCCCCAGUAGCGGCGAGCGAACGGGGAGGAGCCCAGAGCCUGAAUCAGCAUGUGUGUUAGUGGAAGCGUCUGGAAAGGCGCGCGAUACAGGGUGACAGCCCCGUACACAAAAGCGCAUGUGCUGUGAGCUCGAUGAGUAGGGCGGGACACGUGGUAUCCUGUCUGAAUAUGGGGGGACCAUCCUCCAAGGCUAAAUACUCCUGACUGACCGAUAGUGAACCAGUACCGUGAGGGAAAGGCGAAAAGAACCCCGGCGAGGGGAGUGAAAAAGAACCUGAAACCGUGUACGUACAAGCAGUGGGAGCACCCUUCGGGGUGUGACUGCGUACCUUUUGUAUAAUGGGUCAGCGACUUAUAUUCUGUAGCAAGGUUAACCGUAUAGGGGAGCCGGAGGGAAACCGAGUCUUAACCGGGCGUUAAGUUGCAGGGUAUAGACCCGAAACCCGGUGAUCUAGCCAUGGGCAGGUUGAAGGUUGGGUAACACUAACUGGAGGACCGAACCGACUAAUGUUGAAAAAUUAGCGGAUGACCUGUGGCUGGGGGUGAAAGGCCAAUCAAACCGGGAGAUAGCUGGUUCUCCCCGAAAGCUAUUUAGGUAGCGCCUCGUGAAUUCAUCUCCGGGGGUAGAGCACUGUUUCGGCUAGGGGGCCAUCCCGGCUUACCAACCCGAUGCAAACUGCGAAUACCGGAGAAUGUUAUCACGGGAGACACACGGCGGGUGCUAACGUCCGUCGUGAAGAGGGAAACAACCCAGACCGCCAGCUAAGGUCCCAAAGUCAUGGUUAAGUGGGAAACGAUGUGGGAAGGCCCAGACAGCCAGGAUGUUGGCUUAGAAGCAGCCAUCAUUUAAAGAAAGCGUAAUAGCUCACUGGUCGAGUCGGCCUGCGCGGAAGAUGUAACGGGGCUAAACCAUGCACCGAAGCUGCGGCAGCGAACGUAUCACCCAAGACAACUUUACGGAGUUGACGAUUGACGGAGCGAAGCGACGUCAAAGCGUUCAUUAAAGUCGAGUUGGCUUAGGGAUACGUUCGUUGGGUAGGGGAGCGUUCUGUAAGCCUGUGAAGGUGUGUCGUGAGGCAUGCUGGAGGUAUCAGAAGUGCGAAUGCUGACAUAAGUAACGAUAAAGCGGGUGAAAAGCCCGCUCGCCGGAAGACCAAGGGUUCCUGUCCAACGUUAAUCGGGGCAGGGUGAGUCGACCCCUAAGGCGAGGCCGAAAGGCGUAGUCGAUGGGAAACGGGUUAAUAUUCCCGUACUUGGUGUUACUGCGAAGGGGGGACGGAGAAGGCUAUGUUGGCCGGGCGACGGUUGUCCCGGUUUAAGCGUGUAGGUGUGUGUUCCAGGUAAAUCCGGUUCACUUUAACACUGAGGCGUGACGACGAGGCACUACGGUGCUGAAGCAACAAAUGCCCUGCUUCCAGGAAAAGCCUCUAAGCAUCAGGUAACACGAAAUCGUACCCCAAACCGACACAGGUGGUCAGGUAGAGAAUACCAAGGCGCUUGAGAGAACUCGGGUGAAGGAACUAGGCAAAAUGGUGCCGUAACUUCGGGAGAAGGCACGCUGACACGUAGGUGAAGUGAUUUACUCAUGGAGCUGAAGUCAGUCGAAGAUACCAGCUGGCUGCAACUGUUUAUUAAAAACACAGCACUGUGCAAACACGAAAGUGGACGUAUACGGUGUGACGCCUGCCCGGUGCCGGAA